rnacentral:rRNA from 1 species
AAAUAGAACUUUGCAGAGAGAGUUAACAGGGCGUGAAACCGUUAAUUGGCAAACGAAUCGGAGCCACGAAGUCGUUUCGAUGCUAGUUGGGCUUGGUUCAGCUUGGAAACCAAAAGUUUCCUGGCGUAUUCCUUGUGCAACCAUUGUAAGCGUACACUGCAACCGGUUAGACGGUUGGAGAUGGAACUAGUUGCGUGGAUUAGUAGUAGUGGGCUGCAUUUCGGUGUAGUUUGUUGCUGGGUUCAUGUAAGUGAGCUAUCUCCAAGUACUGACCGGCAAAAUGAAAACCGCCUCUAUGGGCGUUUUACACAAUGCGCUUGGUUAUAUUGUAGCCUACACAUACGACCAUGGGGUUUUAAGCUCGACAUUUUCGAAUUUGGACUGGCCAUCUACUAUGGGGCAACUCUUGGUGUUGGUUUAGCCUCCAUCUAAUCAGGUGUUGACUUGAUUCUAUGUUGUUCGGGUGUGAAACGAUUGGGUUAUAAUAUAAACUAGGUCGCCAUUGAUUGGCAGUGAGUAGGUCGGCUUUCCGAACGACCCGUCUUGAAACACGGACCAAGGAGUCUAAUUAGGUAUCGAGUCGAUCGGUCUUGAAUAGGCCAGACUUGGAACUUCUUCCUAAUUGAAGGCGUAGAGACAUGUGAUCAUGGGGCCAAUACCAGGCCUUAUGCGCAACAUGUGCCUGUUCGUAUAACAAUGUGUAAAAUGUUGAGCGGAGCAAAGAGAUACCUGAUUGGUACCCGAAAGAUGGUGAUGCUUGGGCAAGUUGAAGCCAGAGGAAACUCUGGUGGAGGACUGUAGCGAUUCUGACGUGCAAAUCGAUCGUCAGACCUGAGUAUAGGGGCGAAAGACUAAUCGAACCAUC